rnacentral:rRNA from 1 species
ACAUUUGGAGUUUUUUUUUAUAUCCCUUUGUUUACCUACCCUGUUGNUUCCCACCAGAGAAAGUUCUUUCCCUGGUGGUAGGAUUCUAUAAACAAAAUUUUGUGAACAAAUGUNUGAUAAAACUCUGAAAAUAGAAAUAAAACUUUCAACAACGGAUCUCUAGGCUCUUGCAUCGAUGAAGAACGCAGUGAAAUGCGAUAAGUAAUGUGAAUUGCAGAAUCUCGUGAAUCAUCGAAUCUUUGAACGCACAUUGCGCCCUAUGGUAUUCCAUAGGGCAUGCCUGUCUGAGCGUCAGCUCCCCCACACUCAAGUCUCUUAAUUGAAGCUUGGAUUAUUUUAAAGAAGUGGCUGAAACACAAUAGGCUACUCUUUAGAAAUUCAUAGGCAGUAUGGCACCUGAACUAGGCGUAAUAAGAAUAUAAAAGCGUCUCUCUUUAGGAAGGUUGUACUUGCCUUAACCCACCCAUUUUCUUCUGGGUGACCUCAGAUCAGGUAGGGAUACCCGCUGAACUUAAGCAUAUCAAUAAGCGGAGGAAAAGAAACCAACAGGGAUUGCCCUAGUAACGGCGAGUGAAGCGGCAAAAGCUCAGAUUUGAAAUCUGGUGUCAUUUUGGCAUCCGAGUUGUAGUCUGUAGAGGAGCAUUCGAGUGUAGCUUUGGCUUAAGUUCCUUGGAACAGGACGUCAUAGAGGGUGAGAACCCCGUUAACGGCCGUUGUCUUAUGCUCAUGUGAAUCUCCUUCAACGAGUCGAGUUGUUUGGGAAUGCAGCUCUAAAUGGGUGGUAAAUUCCAUCUAAAGCUAAAUACUGGCAAGAGACCGAUAGCGCACAAGUAGAGUGAUCGAAAGAUGAAAAGAACUCUGAACAGAGAGUUAAAUAGUACGUGAAAUUGUUGAAAGGGAAGCACUUGCAACCAGACGCACUUGCAGCUGAUCAACCUCCAUUCUUGGAGGUGCACUUAGUUGUUUGUGGGUCAGCAUCAGUUAUGGCGGUGGGAAAAAGACCAAGGGAAUGUAGCUCCUUUCGGGGAGUGUUAUAGCCCUUGGUGUAAUGCUGCCUGCUAUGAC